CGAGCGAAUGGAUYMMGAGCUUGCUCUUAUGAAGUUAGCGGCGGACGGGUGAGUAACACGUGGGUAACCUGCCCAUAAGACUGGGAUAACUCCGGGAAACCGGGGCUAAUACCGGAUAACAUUUUGAACCGCAUGGUUCGAAAUUGAAAGGCGGCUUCGGCUGUCACUUAUGGAUGGACCCGCGUCGCAUUAGCUAGUUGGUGAGGUAACGGCUCACCAAGGCAACGAUGCGUAGCCGACCUGAGAGGGUGAUCGGCCACACUGGGACUGAGACACGGCCCAGACUCCUACGGGAGGCAGCAGUAGGGAAUCUUCCGCAAUGGACGAAAGUCUGACGGAGCAACGCCGCGUGAGUGAUGAAGGCUUUCGGGUCGUAAAACUCUGUUGUUAGGGAAGAACAAGUGCUAGUUGAAUAAGCUGGCACCUUGACGGUACCUAACCAGAAAGCCACGGCUAACUACGUGCCAGCAGCCGCGGUAAUACGUAGGUGGCAAGCGUUAUCCGGAAUUAUUGGGCGUAAAGCGCGCGCAGGUGGUUUCUUAAGUCUGAUGUGAAAGCCCACGGCUCAACCGUGGAGGGUCAUUGGAAACUGGGAGACUUGAGUGCAGAAGAGGAAAGUGGAAUUCCAUGUGUAGCGGUGAAAUGCGUAGAGAUAUGGAGGAACACCAGUGGCGAAGGCGACUUUCUGGUCUGUAACUGACACUGAGGCGCGAAAGCGUGRGGAGCAAACAGGAUUAGAUACYCUGGUAGUCCACGYCGUAAAYGAUGAG
rnacentral:rRNA from 1 species